AACGAACGCUGGCGGCAUGCCUAACACAUGCAAGUCGAACGAGACCUUCGGGUCUAGUGGCGCACGGGUGCGUAACGCGUGGGAACCUGCCCUGAGGUUCGGAAUAACAGUUAGAAAUGACUGCUAAUACCGGAUAAUGUCUUCGGACCAAAGAUUUAUUGCCUUGGGAUGGGCCCGCGUAGGAUUAGCUAGUUGGUGGG
rnacentral:rRNA from 1 species